AUUUGAACAGCAGUGGUGGAAAUACAGCACCUGGUCGUCCUGUGUUGUUUGUUCCCUACCCUCUCCCGCCACUUCCAUCCCCACCCCUGUGGGCAGCUAUCAUUGUUUUGUUUUAUUUUUCUGCCUUUCUCAGAAUUAGCCUCCAAAUCCUUCUCAUAGAGCACUCCAGGCUCCUUUUUGACCCCAUCAUUCCAGGCAAGGACUAUCAAUUGGAUUUGUUGUUUGCAUUGAAAGUCAUUUGCUGCCCCUUCACUCAGUGAUUAUUUCUGACAUCAUUUCUAGCAUUUAAUUACCUCAAGUCUAUGAAAUAAGCUUUCUGUUCUGUAAAUGACCAGCUGAGGAAGAAAACUAAGAGGAAUGGAAAGACUUAACAUUAUUGGAACACUUUUUAAAAUAGCACAAAUUUUAUUGCCCUUGGGUUUUUAAAACUGCCUUUAACAACAGCUAGAUGUCUGGCUUUGGACAAGUUACUGAGCCUCUAAACAUGAUUUCUUAUUAGCUAAUUCAUUAUUAAAGAUAAUAUUAGCUAAUACUAAAUGCACACAUGCUAUGUGACAGGAACUGAAAUAAUUGUAUUACCUGCACAAUAUGAUCCUUAUGACAAUCCUGUAAGGUAGUUAUUACUUCACUGUUUUUCUGAAAAGAAACCCAAGUCACAGAUUUAAGUUACUUUGCAGACUCACAGUUUUUAAGUAUUGUAGUGAAGAUUUAAACACUGUGUACCAGAUUCAAAAAUUAGUGUGUACCAUCUGAUAAAGUGCCUGACGUGAUAGAGACUCACCAGAUAUUAGGCAGUGUAUAUGCAGAAAAACAUAACCCAACCAGCUGUAUGUUUACAGCCACAAUUAACCACCAAAUUGUUUUCAUUGUUACAAACAUAGAUGGGGCUAUCUCCUUUUCCUAUAGCUAAUUGCUUAAGUUUGAUUUCUUAGAUCUCCCUUCUUUCUUUUUCAUUUUUCUUUUUCUGUUUCUUUUUUGUUUUCUUUCUUGAGAUGGGAUCUCGCUCUGUCAUCCAGGCUGGAGUGCAGUGGUGCAAUCAUCGCUCACUGCAGCCUUGAACUCUUCUGCAGCCUUGAACUCUUCCCAGGCUCAAGUGAUCCCUUCUGCCUCUGCCUCCGCCUCCCAACAUGCUGGGAUUAUAGGCAUGAGCCCCUAUAGGCACCUGGUCCCUAUUUUCAUGAUAGUUUUUUUUUUUUUCCCCUUAAAGUUAUACCAUGGCAUAAUAUUUUUAAAUUUCUUAAUAACUGGCUAUUUUGGAGGCAGGCAUUUAUGUUAAGAUUUCUUUUUGAAUACACUUUUUUCCUGCAAAUUAAAUAAAAUUUAACACUCAUAUCUUUUAAAAUGCUUGGUAAAGCAGAGCCAGUGAUUGCUUACAAAUCUAUAUUUUAGGAUUUGGUUUUGGCAGCUUCUUUCCAAAAUUUAACAUUUAUACACUGCAUGUAUAACUGAAACUUAGUACCAUUUUCUUGUGCAUAAAACUCCUAUUUUAGGAAUAUUCCAUGGCUUGAAUUAAACAAAAUGUGUCAUUUUUACACAUAGUAAGCAUUUAGUGUUAGUGUUUAUUCACCACUUACAUUCAUAUGAAGAGUUUAGAAACUAGUCUUUGUCUUUGGUGGCAGUGGAUAAUUUACAGUUCUUUUACCUUAUUAGAAUAUAUAACCUGAUUUUGUUUUAUUUUUUUUUUCAAGUCUUCUAUUCAAGUCACUAAACUUUAUCUUCAUACAAGGUUUAAUCCACAGCAUGUCAUGAUGCUGGCCUUUGAUAACUUUUUUCAAGAGUCCUUGGACAGAUGACUCUUGACCAUUGUGGCCAUAUUCUUACCUAAUCCCCACAUUGAAGAAUGUGUUUAUCAAGUUUAUGAGCUUUAUUUCCACUAAUCUUCGUAAAAGUAAUUAUCUUAUUACAUGAAAUAAAUGUUCUUGCACAUGAACAAG
ensembl:lncRNA